CUCCUCUGUCCUCCGUUCCACCACGCUUUUCUCUGCUUCCUUCUCUUCUCUUCUCUUCUCUUCCCUUCUCCAUCGUUCCAAAACCACUCGCCCCGUAAAACCCCCUCAAACCUCCCUCCCGCGGCGGCGCAAUCGCGUUCAUGGCGGCCGCCACCGCCGCCGCCGCCGCCGAGCUGGAGCGGCGGGUGAUGGCGGCGGUGAAGGCGUCCGCGGCGCGCGGCGACCCCCCGCUCCUGCAGGCCGCCGAGGCCGCGCGCUGCGCCCGGGAGGCCUCCUCCUCCAUCUCCGUCGAUGGCGGGGCCGGGGCCGCGCUCGCCGCGGCGCUGGUGUCCAACCUGUGCUUCGCGCACAACACGGGCGCGAUGUGGAAGGUGCUGGACCAGGCCAUGGCGUCCCGCCUCGUCUCCCCGCUCCUCGCCCUCGCGCUGCUCACCCCGAGGGUGGUGCCCAACCGGCAGGCGCAGCCGGAGGCAUACAGGCUCUACCUCGAGCUGCUCGGCCAGUACACGGUCGCCCCGGUCUGCACGGAGAGCGUGGAGACGAAGGCCAUGUUAGUCAAAUCUAUUGAUGAUGCUUUGCAUCUUUCAGAUAGCUAUGGGUUUCAGAGAGUGGAUUUUGGACAUACAGUUAUUUUGUUUGUGUUAAGCGUUAUCAAAAUAUUGACUGACUGUAUAUUGGAAGAUUGUGGUUUGCCAACUAUUGAUGGUGAUGGACAUGACAUUUCAUAUGCUAUUGGAGCAGAAAAAAGUAUGAACAUAGAUGGCAAGGGAAGCUCAUUUGAUAGGAAAGAUGAGCACCGUGAAUGUCUGAGGAGGAAGAACACAAUUAUGACUUUAGAAGUAGUUGAGAAGAUCACUGCUAACAAAAAUACUCAAGUUUUUCUCCGUCUAGUCUAUCGUAACACACCUGAAAAUUUCAAUAUUUUGCUCCAGAGGCUUCAGCUUAUUGGUGCUCUGAAGUCAAAGAAUUUUGGAACUGCACAUAAUCUGCUAGGCAGCUUGAUGAUGAAUAUACGAAAAGUUGUUACUACAGGACAUCAAUUACACAAAGGCAAUCUAUUGGGAAGUAUUGUGAGUACAAAGCCUUGCAGUUCUGCUGCACGCAGUGUCUUUGGCGCUGGAAAGAGCUCUUGUUGGAUACCUUUUGACAUGUUUAUGGAGAACACAAUGGACGGAAGACAUCUUGAUACCAUAUCAUCAAUUGAAGCUCUGACAGAACUUGCUAAGACACUUCAAGUUCUUAAUCGAGCAACCUGGCAAGAAACCUUUCAAGCUCUGUGGAUUUCAGCUUUACGGCUUAUACAACGAGAUCGUGGCAUUCCAGAAGGGCCAUUUCCUCAUCUUCAUUCUCGAUUGUGCAUGUUAUUGGCUAUUGUACCUCUGUCUAUUGCUUCCAUUCUUAAGGAAGAGUCUGACAAGAUUGAAGGUGGAAUGGUCUCUGUUAGAAGAGGAGAAUUAUUGUCUUCACUUCAAGUUCUAGGGCAAUUUUUUGGUCUUCUUUCUCCUCCACCAGCAGUAGUGCAGUCAGCAAAUAUUGCAGCUAGGAAAGCAUUAGUUGCUUUAUCUGUUUUGAAGGAUCGGAAUGAGAGAGGUCACAAUUAUUCCAAAGAUAUCUCCUCUAUUAAAGCAGCGGGAAAUAUGCUACAUCUUAUUGUGGAAGCUUGUAUAGCAAGGAAUUUAGUUGAUACAUCUGUUUAUUUCUGGCCUAGCUAUGUUGUUCCAGUUAAAGACGCAUCUGCUGUUGAGGAAUCCCCUUGGUCAGCCUUAAUGGAAGGGUCACCCCUUAUGGGCCUUAAGGAUGCACUUAUGGUUACACCUGCUUCGAGCCUAGCAGAGUUGGAGAAAUUGCAACCUUUUGCAGUAAGUGGGUCAGAUGAGGAAAAGUUGGCGGCGUCUAAGAUUCUGUGUGGAGCAUCCCUUCUUCGUGGCUGGAACAUUCAGGAACAUGUUAUCCAAAUGGUGCUUAAGUUGCUGUCUACAUUGCUCCCCCUAGACUCUGGAUCAGAUGGGUUCUAUAUACAUCACAUGCCUAUGCUGCAUGCUCUCAUAUCUGGGAUUUCUUCAAUUGAUGUGGUUCAUAUUCUCUCUAUGUAUGGCUUGGUUCCAGAACUAGCUGCCAUUCUAAUGCCUUUAUGCGAAAUAUUUGGAUCAUUACCUUCGUCUGACCAUAGGAAUUGUAGUUUUGAAGAGGCCUCUGUGUACUCCGUAUUCUCAUGUGCUUUCCUGUGUCUUCUUCGCUUGUGGAAAUUUCAUAGACCCCCUGUGGAGUAUGCACUAUCAAAACAUGGAGUCUUUGUUUGCUCAGAGAUCAGUUUGGAUUUUCUCCUGCUACUACGAAACAGUCAUUUUGCUUUGAAUAGUCCGUAUGAUGUUAGCAGAAAGAGCAUAUUUCAACUAGAUCCAUCGUUUCAAAAACCGGUGUAUAUUGACUCAUUUCCAAAGCUACGGGCAUGGUACUUUCAGAAUCAGGCUUGCAUAGCCUCUACUCUUUCUAGUUCUUACAAAAGGAAAAGUAUCCUUCAAGUAGCCAAUAAGAUACUGAAAAUUGUCUGCCAUAAAAUGUCAAAAAGUGGCAUCCCUCCUGUCAGUUCCCAAUCAACAUCAAGUUCCAGUAUGAGUGGUUCAUCUCUAGGCACACAAGAUGAUGUCUCCCAAGGGCCGCCAGCUACUGCAUGGGAAGUGCUGGAAGCUGUUCCUUUUGUGCUUGAGACUGUUUUAGCUGCCUGCGCACAUGGGAGGCUUUCGUCUCGUGAUUUGAUUACAGGCUUGAGGAAUCUUGCGGACUUCUUGCCUGCUUCAGUUGCUGUUAUCGUCAGCUACUUUUCGGCAGAAAUUACUCGUGGCUUAUGGAAGCCAGUUAUGCUGAAUGGGACUGACUGGCCCAGUCCUGCUGCAACGCUUUUAGCAGUUGAGUCCGAUAUUGAGGAGGCUCUUGCAUCCGCUGGUGUUCAUAUUAACAUCUCUCCACGAAUACGUCCACCAAUCCCAAUGCUUCCAUUACCAAUAGCAACUCUUAUCAGCUUAUCAAUAACUGUUAAGAUGGAGGAAUUUAAUCACUUACAAGGAAUUAUUGACAAAGGAGUGGAAAUUUGUGCUACAUCAAGUUCAUGGCCUAGCAUGGCAAUCAUAGGGGCAUUCUGGGCACAAAAAGUUCGGCGGUGGCAUGAUUAUAUCAUCCAGUCAUGUUCAGAGACACCAUUUACCAGAGAUAAAAAUGCAGUUGCUCAACUAAUCAGGAGUUGCUUCUCAUCUUUCCUUGGGCCUUUGGUUGAUGGGCGUUCUUGCUUUGUAGCUGACAGAGGAGUGAAUAGGCUGCUGGGGCAGGCUCACCAAGAAAGAAGUCCCCGGUUUUCUUUAUCGCCAGGAUUACUUUACACACGAUGCUGCCGAAUGUUUCCUGACAACUAUUUUGUAUGUGAAGAGAUUUUGAAGGUUGUCAUUGAGAGAGCUCGUGCAUUAGCAAAUGAAUGUGACUCUAGUAGACCUCAUCUUCUGAAGUCUGGUCGGAUGACACUAUCUUCUGCCACAUGUUCUGUAGAGCAGAUAGCAUCACUUGCAGCAUCUAUGCUUUGUCAUGCUGGUGGAAUAAAGUUGGUUCGUCUUCUGUAUGAGCAGAUUCUGCCAACAAUGCUGCUUUCAGCUGGUGAAGCAAGGCUGGGUUCUGCUGGACCAGUGUGCAGUAGUUUCGAAGGAUUUGCUUUGGCAUAUGUUCUCCUUGUUUCUGGGGCCAGCACCUGGGGAGUAGGAGAAACCUCCCCAGUUUAUACUUCCGUAUACACAUCGAAGAGGCAACGGGUUGUAGAUAGGCACUUGGAGUUUGUCGCCAAUGUAAUGCAGGGUAACAUUGAGCUUGGCUGUGGCCAGGUCACUUGGAGAACCUAUGUUAUAUGUUUUGUGGGCUUGCUGGUCGACUUUGCGCCAACAUGGAUCCCUGAGGUGAAGCUCGAGACGCUGAAGAAGCUGGCGUCUGGGCUUUGGAAAUGGCACGAGUGCGAUCUUGCCCUCUCUUUGCUCGAGCGAGGGGGUCCAAAGGCCAUAUCUACAGUGGUUGAAUACAUCCUAUGAUAUGCCCGUGCCAAAUUGGUGCUCUAAUUUGCCAUGUACUUAUGCUCUCUUGCUCCAGUACAGGCAUACACAUCUUACACCUGAUCUGACGUGCAGAGACCCCCAUCAGAGAAGCAUAUGUUCUAGUAGAUGGCUUGCUCUGAACUAGAUAGAAGUCUAUACUACAGAAAGGAUAUCCAGCAGUUAGGUGUUUACACUUUACAGUACAUUUACAGAUAGGAUGACAUGGUGUAAAUGAUCAAGCAUAGCUGCCACUCCAAUGACAUGGUGUAAAUGAUCUUUCCGGCUCAAUUGGAGAUCAGAUUAUUUUUUUGGUUUUGCUCUUUCUUCAAAGGAACCGAGACCAAGUCUUCCAAGCCUGUUUCGACCAUAGCAUUGGUGACAGACUACAGAAAAGAGAAGUUACAUUUACAUAUAGUCCACUGUAUUACUGUUCAUAUGAUCAAUGUACAAUCUGGUAAGUACAGUAGUGA